rnacentral:snoRNA from 1 species
GAGCAAGCCUUCCAGCAUGGCNCUGGACAUUCCUGUAGCGCUUGCGAGAGCAGCCCUGAGAUGGUUAGAGGCCUCACUCUACCCCUUUUCAGAGUGAGGUUGUUAAAAUUUCAGACUGGC